rnacentral:scRNA from 1 species
CCAGUCACAGAUUUCUUUGUUCCUUCUCCACUCCCACUGCAUCACUUAACUAGCCUU